rnacentral:lncRNA from 1 species
AGGAGUAAGCCUAAUCAGCCAAAGGAGACGAAAAUACACAAAAGAAAAGCUGUCAGCCGCAGAACAAAAUAUACGACCCUCCCUCUCAAAAACUUCAUCUUCUUCACGAGCCUCCCCUCCCCUUGAACUUCUUCUCCUCCAUUCCCAAACCAGCAGCAACAAUUGGCAUAAGCUGAAAUACAAAAACGCCUAAGACCCCAGGAUAAAAUACAGACAGCGCCGUUUGUGACAAAGGAGGACCCCACCGUUUCCUUCUUCUUCUUCUUCAAAGAAACACACACGGUAGAAAUCAAAAAAUUUCAAAACUCUUCAGAAAUUGGGAGCUUGUUUCUGGUUUUCAAGUGUUUCCUAGGAGCUAGAAAUCGGAACAGAUUUUUAGGGCUUGUGAUUGUUGGUUUGCCGCUGAGUUUUCACCUUCUGAUUUCAGAUUUUACUUUGAUUUAUCUAGCUGAUUUUUCCUCCCAUUUAGGUAUGUUCUUCAUAUUGUAAUCACAUAGUUCAAAUCAAUAAAUGCGAAUUAGAGAAUUUUAGGCAUUUUAUCAUGAGUUAAUCAGUUCUUGCUUAAUGUCCCUGAUUUUUCUUUUCAGUCAUGAUAGUGCUCCUUGAACAACAUGUGAUGAAUAUUUUAUGUGCAAAAUCCUAUGACUCACCUUGAAUCAUUCUGUGAUAGACUCAUUUGCAAUUUUAUUUUAUUUAUUUUUAUAUAAAAUCUUAAUUCAGUUUUGGGCCUAAAUCUGUUCAAGCAUGACAAAUAGGCUAUGUAUGUGUUUGAGGAUAAAUAUGCGGUGUUCUUACAUUAAUAUUUUUUUAGUAAUUUGAAUUAAAUUGAAGUACAUAAUGAUGUGUGAUACUAAUGAACAGCAUGGUUUUAUUUCAACGAGUGUGUCUAUGGAAGAAUAAUUAUGUAUUGGGGUAAAUACAAUUUCCUUGCUUAUUAAUGGGGUUUUUCAUUUGGAAAUGUCUUAAGGGUUUGGAAUUGCUGUGAACAGAGGCAGACCUACUAAAAGGGUCACCGGAACCCGUUAACUUCGACAAAAAACUGUGUAUAUAUACUUGUAUAUACAUCAAGGACCCCCUAAAUAAUUUUGAUGUGCCCCUCAAACAUAAAAGUUUGAUUGCUGGGCUGGUUUAACACGCGAC